UUCUUUUUCCACCGGAGCUUGCUCCACCGGAAAAAGAGGAGUGGCGAACGGGUGAGUAACACGUGGGUAACCUGCCCAUCAGAAGGGGAUAACACUUGGAAACAGGUGCUAAUACCGUAUAACAAUCAAAACCGCAUGGUUUUGAUUUGAAAGGCGCUUUCGGGUGUCGCUGAUGGAUGGACCCGCGGUGCAUUAGCUAGUUGGUGAGGUAACGGCUCACCAAGGCCACGAUGCAUAGCCGACCUGAGAGGGUGAUCGGCCACAUUGGGACUGAGACACGGCCCAAACUCCUACGGGAGGCAGCAGUAGGGAAUCUUCGGCAAUGGACGAAAGUCUGACCGAGCAACGCCGCGUGAGUGAAGAAGGUUUUCGGAUCGUAAAACUCUGUUGUUAGAGAAGAACAAGGAUGAGAGUAACUGUUCAUCCCUUGACGGUAUCUAACCAGAAAGCCACGGCUAACUACGUGCCAGCAGCCGCGGUAAUACGUAGGUGGCAAGCGUUGUCCGGAUUUAUUGGGCGUAAAGCGAGCGCAGGCGGUUUCUUAAGUCUGAUGUGAAAGCCCCCGGCUCAACCGGGGAGGGUCAUUGGAAACUGGGAGACUUGAGUGCAGAAGAGGAGAGUGGAAUUCCAUGUGUAGCGGUGAAAUGCGUAGAUAUAUGGAGGAACACCAGUGGCGAAGGCGGCUCUCUGGUCUGUAACUGACGCUGAGGCUCGAAAGCGUGGGGAGCAAACAGGAUUAGAU
rnacentral:rRNA from 1 species